rnacentral:rRNA from 1 species
UACGUAGGGUGCGAGCGUUACUCGGAAUUACUGGGCGUAAAGCGUGCGCAGGCGGUUGGCCGUGUCCGAUGUGAAAGCCCCGGGCUUAACCUGGGAAUGGCAUUGGAAACUGGCUGGCUGGAGUGUGGCAGAGGGGGGUGGAAUUCCACGUGUAGCAGUGAAAUGCGUAGAGAUGUGGAGGAAUACCGAUGGCGAAGGCAGCCCCCUGGGAUAACACUGACGCUCAUGCACGAAAGCGUGGGGAGCGAGCGGG